AUACUUACUUGGCAGGGGAGAUACCAUGAUCACGAAGGUGGUUUUCCCAGGGCGAGGCUUAUCCAUUGCACUCCAGAUGUGCUGACCCCUGCGAUUUCCCCAAAUAUGGGAAACUCGACCGCAUACUUUGUGGUAGUGGGGGACUGCGUUCGCGCUUUCCCCUG
ensembl:snRNA U1 U1 spliceosomal RNA